GACGAACGCUGGCGGCGUGCUUAACACAUGCAAGUCGAACGGAAAGGCCCUGCUUGCAGGGUACUCGAGUGGCGAACGGGUGAGUAACACGUGGGUGAUCUGCCCUGCACUUCGGGAUAAGCCUGGGAAACUGGGUCUAAUACCGGAUAGGAGCCAUCUUUAGUGUGAUGGUUGGAAAGUUUUUUCGGUGUAGGAUGAGCUCGCGGCCUAUCAGCUUGUUGGUGGGGUAAUGGCCUACCAAGGCGGCGGCGGGUAGCCGGCCUGGGAGGGUGGACGGCCACAUUGGGACUGAGAUACGGCCCAGACUCCUACGGGAGGCAGCAGUGGGGAAUAUUGCACAAUGGGCGCAAGCCUGAUGCAGCGACGCCGCGUGGGGGAUGACGGCCUUCGGGUUGUAAACUCCUUUCGCUAGGGACGAAGCUUUUUGUGACGGUACCUAGAUAAGAAGCACCGGCUAACUACGUG
rnacentral:rRNA from 1 species